rnacentral:lncRNA from 1 species
GACAAAUGCUAAAUAAAAUUGAAACACCUUUUGACCAAAAAUCAAAAUCAAAAUUGAACUCCUUCUUCUCUUCUCUUCUCAAAAUCACGAAAGCUAAACCCCCAAAAUCAUGUUCAUCUGAGAAGCUCAGAAUCCCUAAUUUUCUCAUCCCUUUCCGUUGAUAAAUCCCAAACGACUCAAAAAAUUCUCUAUCCGUUGGUUUCAUCCCCAAAAACCCUAAAUUCUUUAUCUGUUCAAUCCUCCCACUUUUGUGUGGACAUUCAAGACUUACGAAGGCAGUGACGUUUGCGGCGAUUGACUGACAAAGGUUUUUCUGCGAUUCACUAAGAUGCUUGCAUACUCAAAUUCGUUAGCCAAAUCUUUCAAUUAAGCUAAAAGAAAGCAAUUGGUAUGACAAGACGUUUUCCCUCUCCCUCUCCAUGGAUGAAUUCAACCUCCCCACCCAAACUUUCAUCAAAUCCUCCAUUUUUGUGUGAAUUCAAGCAUGCAUGUGAUAACUCAUGAUCUCUCUCCAUUGAUGGAAGUGGUAGGAAGCUAAGAUGUUGGAGAUUAUUAGGAUCCGAGAUUAGAAGAAUCAUAAGAGACAAAGAGCUUUUGAAGAAAAGAUAGUAAAAUUCGAAGUUGCUUCAAAAAGGUUCUUUGGCUUUCAAGUGAAGGGGCAGAAGUAGAAAGAUUGGUGAAGGAGAUUUAGUGGUUUGGGGCUUUUGGCAUCAAGUAGAAAUCAAUCCUUGAGGUGAGUUUCCUACAUGGCUCUGAUUGUUGAUAGAACAUUUAGCUAAAAAUUGAUAGAUGAAUAUGAGUUUAUACAUAUAGAGAAAAUUAGCUAAAACUGUUUUAUAUAUUUUAUUCCCUUUAAAUGCAUUUCAAUUGAAAUUUGUUAUUGAUAUUUAGAUUGAUAAUUUGCAGAAUGAAUGAAUUUGAUACAUCACAUAAUAGGGCUGCAACUACAGGGGAUAACCUUAGAAGGAAUAGAGAAUAAGUUAAAGUUAUAGAGCUUGAUUCAUUGUUAUAGUGCAGCCCUUCGACAACUACUAGUUAAUUAAUAAUAUACACGAAUUCAUGAAAUUUGCAUUCAGUAAGUAAUAGUUAAUCUAGAGUAUUAAUUUAUUCCUACCUACAUGUGGUCAAUAAGAUUAUUAACUAUAAUGAACCAAGGUACUUAGCAAGUACGCCUUGAUUAUUCAGAUAAGAAGCGUUGUUAUGAUCCAAGUUAAUGAUCAUGAACAUCAUUUAAAAUGGACGGCUUAUGACAGGAAAAAUAAAUGUUUAACAAUAGUUGAACCCUCAGAAUUCUACAGGUUAAAACUGUCGGUUAUUAUUAAAUAAAACAAUGACAUAAUUUUGUAAAUUAGGAGGGUGGUAAGGAUCCAGAAAGAGGUGCAGGUCUGUCUAGCGUGGAUUCAAAGUAGUAUCUUGUGUAGGUCGGUCUCAAAAUGGCUCGGGAUGGUAUUGUUUUGUCGGCAGUUUUGUUGUAGUAUGUUUGUUGAUGUGUUUCUUAAUUUCUGCUUAGAGUUAACUUGGCUUUUUGUUUUGUAGUGGCUUAUAUCUUUUUUUAUCUCUCAAUUUGCUAACUUUGGCUUUUGAUUUUUUGCUAUUUUUGUUUUGUGGCAUUGUUGAUUAUCUCAGAUGUUGUAUCUUGUCUUGGUUAGCACAUUUUGUUGAAGAAUUUCAAGAUUUGGAAGCACAAAAUGAAGAGAUGCAAAUGAUGUUUAUGCGUUUAUUUUUCAUAGAUCAAUGAUAAUUGACAUUUUGAACUGGGUUAUACAUCAAAGACCGAAAAUAUUAUUUGCAUCUCAGCGGUUGACAACGGUUGUAAAAUGAUCAAUAGUACCAAUUUAAUUAAUAAAACUUUUCCCAUUUAAAAAAUAAUAAUAAUGUUAUUUAUAAGUAAAUGAGGCUUGUAAAAAACUAUGAACAUCUAGACUUCAAUGUUAUGUAUUUGAUGUCUCCCAUCGAAACCACCUAAGAUGAGAUUAUACCAUCUUUUUCUCUAGAAUGAUUGAAUUUCUAGUCUUAUGUUGUCUUGGGUAGAAGUAACAUUUUCUGCAAAAGACUUUAGAAUAUUCUAAUAGGGAAAGUUGUUUGAAACUUACUGUUGUAUCUCUAUGUUACCUUUUAUAUACUUUUUUUUUACAUUAAAGACAAUUUCAAUAACGAAAGUCUGACAAUAAAUCAAAUGUCAAGACUUAAAUAUAAGACGGAGUUUCUUCGACCCAUAUGCAAUUUAAAUUCUUAAGAGCAUAUUUAGCUAAAUAAU